rnacentral:rRNA from 1 species
CGUAGGGUGCGAGCGUUAAUCGGAAUUACUGGGCGUAAAGCGUGCGCAGGCGUUUUGUAAGACAGGCGUGAAAUCCCCGGGCUCAACCUGGGAACUGCGCUUGUGACUGCAAGGCUAGAGUACGGCAGAGGGGGGUGGAAUUCCACGUGUAGCAGUGAAAUGCGUAGAGAUGUGGAGGAACACCAAUGGCGAAGGCAGCCCCCCUGGGUCGAUACUGACGCUCAUGCACGAAAGCGUGGGUAGCAAACAGGAUUAGAUACCCUGGUAGUCCACGCCCUAAACGAUGUCAACUAGGUGUUGGGUGGGUAAAACCAUUUAGUACCGGAGCUAACGCGUGAAGUUGACCGCCUGGGGAGUACGGCCGCAAGGUUA